UAGCUAUCAAGGGGUCUGGGAGAGAGCGAUGAUGACCCCAGGUUCUGAUUCCCCAGACCCUCCCCUCACUUCUGACCCUUUCCUUUCCUCUCUGCAGGGGGAUAUCCAGGAGCUUAUGAUCCUGCAAGAUGCUCAGGCUGCCUUCAGGGCCUGUGAAAACUUGCUGCCCAGCUGCGACACCCCCACUACCCCAGCCACCCCAACUGCAGGGGUGAGCACACCUUUGUAUUUGCCACAAGAUAAAUGACUGGGACAGCUAGAUGGCACUGUGGAUAGAGUACUAUGUUUGGAAUCAGGAAGACCUGAUUUUGAAUCCUACCUCAGAUACUAGCUACCGAAUGUUAAGCUAACUAAGGCCAGAUGACUUCAUCUUUCUUGGCUUGAGUUUCCUCACUUGUAAAAUGAAGGGAUUUGACUUGACCUGUAAAGUCCCUUCCAGCUUUAGAGCUAUGAUCUUUAUGACUUUAUAUGCCCUGGCAUGGGAUAAAUAAGUCUCCUAGCAUGGAGUGGGUGAUCCCUGACUUGUUGGCGUGGAAUGGAUGACCCCUGCCCUGGGGCAAGUGGUUUUCAAUUGCUCACUUUGAGGCAGGCUGACCCAAGAAUUAGCUCACUGUCCAGGAUCCUAUGUGACCAGAAUGCCUGGGUUCCCAACCUAGAGAAGGGCUGCUUACCGGGAAGCAUCUUCUGGGCCCUGAGCAGAAUGCCUUCUACCCAGGUGGAGCCAGAAACCCCUCCUCCCCAAAGGAAGAGGAAGGGGAAAGGGAAGGGAAAGGGCCGCAAGGGCCGCAAGGGCAAGGGCAAGAAAAAGAAAAACAAGGACUCUGAGAAACCAGAAGUGCUCCCAACUUCACCAGAAGGCCAGAUCACCACUCACAUUCCUGAGGUAGAGACUUUAACUCUUCCCUCUGAGACAGAGACUGUGGCUCCAACUGCCCCUCUGAAUGUCACAGUUGUCACAUCCACAGUGGCCAUCAGUCUCAAUGGCACCACCUAUAAAGUAAGGCCAGGGUCUGGGGAGGGGAAUGGGGGGCUGACAGGACCGGGGAGGCAGGUGUGAAGGAGGGAGGAAGAGAGGGAUGGAAGGUGAUUACUUGGGCUCAGAAGGAGGAAUGAUGUGUUUAUUUCUCCUAACCCUUGUGACUUCUUCCCAGGACCCUGGAAAUGAGCCAGUGUCCUCUGAAGCUACACACAAGCUCCCUGAGCCACGGGAGGGCAGGGGUGAGGAAUGGGGAAACUCUACUAUGAACCCCAUCUAUGGGCCAGCUGAGCGGGGGUCAGAGACCCAGAUCUACAUAUUUCCUGUGAGUUUGGGGGAGGUCUCUGGGGAAUAAGGGACUUGAGGAAGAUACGGGUCUCUAGGAAAAUAGGUUCUGAGGGAUAGGAGACUCUGGUAGGGAUGAACGGUGCUGAGAGAUGACCUCUGAGUAGCAUGAGAAGUCUGAGAAGAUGAGGAUAUCUCUGAAGGAUGAGGUACCCCCUGGGGAAUAGGAAACUAUGGAAGAAUUUGGAAUUUGGGGGAAAUGGAGGGCUCUAGGGGUACCAGGGUCUCUGGGAAGUUUAAAGACUCUGGGACACAGGAGAAUUAGAAGCAACGGGAGAAUGGAAAACUUUAGGGGGCUGAAAAAUUCUGGGUGAUGGGUCUUUGGGGGAGACCUAGUGGUCUGGUGGGUAGGGAACUCUGGAGGAACUCUCGUUUCCCAAGUUGCUCUGGAAAGGUUGAGGGCCUGGGAUACAUGACCCCUAACUAAGGGGCAGUAUGGUGGUACCAUAGGAUUGAUACUUUAUCUAAUGGGGGAGAGGGGCUGGUUGGGGUUUGAAGGAUUCUGAGUCUCUGUAAUGCCCUCUUCCCCUCCUCUUCCCCUGCAUCCUAGAAUGCUGGUGAAAAAGGUCAGAAAGGGGAGCCAGCAGUUAUUGAACUGGUGAGUGGGGGACAGUAAUCAUGAGGUGCAGGGCAGUGUUGAACACCUCCUUCCUUGCAGGGAUGUGGGGGAGGGGGUACUGUGACUGAGUGUGGGCUCAUAUUUGUUUUUCUCUCGAAGGGCCAGCAGUUUGAGGGA
ensembl:lncRNA